UACGAAGGGGGCUAGCGUUGUUCGGAAUCACUGGGCGUAAAGCGCACGUAGGCGGAUUUUUAAGUCAGGGGUGAAAUCCUGGAGCUCAACUCCAGAACUGCCUUUGAUACUGGCGAGCUUGAGUCCGGAGAGGUGAGUGGAACUGCGAGUGUAGAGGUGAAAUUCGUAGAUAUUCGCAAGAACACCAGUGGCGAAGGCGGCUCACUGGCCCGGUACUGACGCUGAGGUGCGAAAGCGUGGGGAGCAACAGG
rnacentral:rRNA from 1 species